rnacentral:rRNA from 1 species
GACGAACGCUGGCGGCGUGCUUAACACAUGCAAGUCGAACGAAGUGGCGAACGGGUGAGUAACGCGUAAUCAACCUGCCCUUCAGAGGGGGACAACAGUUGGAAACGACCGCUAAUACCGCAUACUGAAGGAGGGGAAUGCGUCUGAUUAGCAAGUUGGAGGGGUAACGGCCACCAAAGGCGAUGAUCGGUAGCCGGUCUGAGAGGAGGGACGGCCAAAUUUGGACUGGGACACGGCCCAGACUCCUACGGGAGGCAGCAGGGGGGAAUCUUCCGCAAUGGACGAAAGUCUGACGGAGCAACGCCGCGUGGGUGAUGACGGCCUUCGGGUUGUAAAGCUCUGUUAAUCGGGACGCGGUACCGGAAUAGAAAGCCACGGCUAACUACGUGCCAGCCGCCGCGGUAAUAC